GUUUAACAACUUGUGACUAAGGGGUAGUGCUAAUACAAUUAUAAAUGUAGCUUGCAACAAAUGAGCCAUUGAUGCCUCAUGCGACAAGGUAACGUAAAAACAAACAACAAACUAGACAACUACAAGAUGCAUCCUGGCUUGCUAAUCCAACAUAUUCAAGCGUACAGUAUGGACCAAUCUUCUAAUUAAAAGUACAGAACUAAGUUU
rnacentral:lncRNA from 1 species